CAGCUUUCACUGACUCAGGUCAACUGCUGCAGAUGUGGGGGUGGGAGUGGGGAGUGAAUCAGAACUGUGCGUGAAGUAGCACACAUGUACACUCUUACUCUGUCUCAAAAAAAAAAAAGACCAGCUGCAGUUCUAUAUGAGAGACCUUACACUGGGCAUAUCACAAUAUACAGCCUUUCUAAUCCUGUUGUGCCAUAAGAGACCAAACACUCCUAUUUGCCUCCUUCUCCUACCAAACAUGUAGGCAAACAGUGGGUGGGUGGAGAGUACAUGCCCUGUAACACUAAAGCACUGAUAGCAAUUUGAUUAGACAGUUACUACAUUAGGCAGUCAUAGGCUUUAACAGAAGAUAGAAAAGGACAAGGCCUGAGACCAGGCUUACAGCAUUUCGAAUGGAGUUUUAUCACAAAUUUUAUUUAUUUGGGGGUGCCUUUCACUAGAGGGAAAUGAAGUGAGACCUCUGCCUUAAAAUGGAUGCUCUCACCCAGCAGCAACAUCCAACACAUCUACAAACCACAUGUCAAUGCACCCCGAUAACAUACCUUCGAAGUGCAGAUACAUCUCCAGUAUAUGCAGCAAACAAAAGAUUGAUCACUGACUUUACCUGUGAAGAAAAGAAAGUUCAGCCAUCCACAGGGGAAAAUAAACAUUUAACCUGUGCAGCUGUACAGUCUUCAGUGAUUCCCAAGUGCUUUGAACAUUUCAGCUAGAUCACACAAAGAUAUCUCAAGCACCUUUCUUCAAUCAAAAGAACAUGCAUGUAGUAUUUUUCUUCUUUUAACAGAGUAAGGGAAGAUACAAUGGUAAAGAUAGACGAGGGAAGGAAUGAAUAAAAUACAUCCACUGUCACAAAGGAAUGGUCACUUGAAACCUUUUGAAAUUGGCAUAAUUCCCAAGUGCUU